rnacentral:misc_RNA from 1 species
GGAAGGAUCAUUAUUGAAUUAGCGAGGGCUGUCUGCUGGCCCCUUCCGGGGCUGUGCACGUCCGAGCCGUUUAAAUCACCACCUGUGAAAUCACCGUAGGGCUCCGGGCUUAUGUGUCUUAUAUAUAUAUACUCAGAUCAUAGAAUGUGCAUUUUGCCUUUAAAAAAGCAAUCAAAUACAACUUUCAACAACGGAUCUCUUGGCUCUCGCAUCGAUGAACAAUGAAGCGAAAUGCGAUAAGUAAUGUGAAUUGCAGAUUUUCAGUGAAUCAUCGAAUCUUUGAACGCACCUUGCGCUCCUUGGUAUUCCGAGGAGCAUGCCUGUUUGAGUGUCAUUAAAUCCUCAACCCCGUCCGUCGACCGGGGCUUGGACUUUGGAGUGCGCUGGCGAAUGACGGCUC